CAGUAGCCGCGGUAAUACGAAGGGGGCUAGCGUUGCUCGGAAUCACUGGGCGUAAAGGGUGCGUAGGCGGGUCUUUAAGUCAGGGGUGAAAUCCUGGAGCUCAACUCCAGAACUGCCCUUGAUACUGAAGAUCUUGAGUUCGGGAGAGGUGAGUGGAACUGCGAGUGUAGAGGUGAAAUUCGUAGAUAUUCGCAAGAACACCAGUGGCGAAGGCGGCUCACUGGCCCGAUACUGACGCUGAGGCACGAAAGCGUGGGGAGCAAACAGGAUUAGAUACCCCUGUAGUCCCUGUCUCUUAUAC
rnacentral:rRNA from 1 species